rnacentral:rRNA from 1 species
CCGUUCCCAUUCCGAACACGACGGUUAAGCCUUUAGAAGCCGAUGGUACUGCACGGGAGACUGUGUGGGAGAGUAGGUGGUCGCCAGGU